AAAACAUAUUUUUAUUAUUAUAAAAUAACAAAAUUGCAAAAUAAAAUAAACAUCGACAAAUAAAUUUACUUUUUAAUAUGCUGAUAAGUUAUUUUAGUAUUUAGUUACCUUUAUGUAGUAUUCUAGAAAACAAUAUACAUAAAACAUACGUACAGGAGCGACACAACGUCUAGUAACUAUAGUUUGUUGUCAUAUAAGAAAAAUGAUUUACAGUAUAAGAUAUGUUUUCCUAAACCAACAUUGUUUUCUUUAUCAGUCAAAAAAAAAAAAAAGAUAGUUUUUUUUAAUUCAAAAUAAAAACUGUGAAGGAGAAAGUUUAGUAAAAAAACUGUGAAUAAAAAUAUCAGUCAAAAAUUAAAUGUGAAGAAAAAUAGAAAUAUUGUUUUGGUUAGCAAUAUUUAGUUACUAUGGAUACUUACUGACACAAGCUCGUUUUAUAAUAUGGGAGGUAUGGGAGGUCUCCAUUAUCCGAGUCUUUACUUGCCACUUAGUUCCAAGUAUUCCAAUCAUCAUCGCAAUAAAUUCCAGAUACCAUCUCCUCUCGAGUCUUGACAUUAUUGAUGUUUACUCUAAUUUACUUCAAUUAUCACAAAUUUGAUGCAUGGCUACACCAGUUUAAGGAAAUGGUUUCGUGGGUGAUAUAAAUCACUCGUCUAAUAAGUUAAAUUUGCAUCGUUAAUGUAAUGGGAGUUAUUUUUUAUCAAAGAAAUGGGAGAUAUUUUGGAUAUCCAAAUGGAUAUUUGAAGCCUAAUAACAUUUGCAUUAACAUGGCAUGUCACACACUCGUACGUAUUACUAGUGCUGAUCGUUUUAUUUUUUUGGUAAAAAAUGCGGAUCGAAUUUUCUUGUUAAGACUAGAAGUUUUCGUUGGUUUUAAAAAUCUGAGACCAUCUUUAACGGGAGCGCUUAAUACUGGUGCUAAGCCUAAUAAAGAUUAAAAAAGAAAAGAAAAAUAGGAUUAAUGAGAGGAAACGAUGCUUAAUAAGACUUUAGAAGCACCGCUACUUGUGAGACACGUGUUGUGUUUUGGAGAUACAUCUCUCUCUUUCUUGACAAAAUCAUUCGGUCUCUCUCUCUUCUUCUCUUCUGAUGAAACCUUCAUCAAGACGAAGAUCAAAGCAACAAAGCAAUAAAUACGCAUUGAUCCUUCUCGUCGUUAGAUAUUUUUGAUUUCUGUUCUGAACCAAAACGAGAGACAAAUAGAUAUCACAUAAGACGCGAAAAGAAGACAAAUAUUCGCACAAACACACUGAACGGAUCAAAAAAUCGAUUCGAUUCAUCUCCGCAAAAGAACAGAUUUGAUUUUGAGUUCUCAUCCCCAAUAGAUUGUGUUGUUUCUGGGAAGACAUCAAAUGGCGGUUUAUGAUCAUAGUGGAGACAUUAUGUUCAGGAUUCUCACUCAAUCGUUUCUCUGCAGUGCUAACAACGAUGAGGAGGUUCCUCUCCAAACUCACUCCCAGGCAAAUGGCUUUCACGAAUUCGAACUCUUUCUUGGUAAAGCUCAGUACAUCACUACUACAAUCAAUGCAGCUCAAGUUGAUCAGACAAAUUAACCUGAAAGCUCAGUUUCGUCUUCCCAUUGCAUACCAUGGAAGGGCAUCAUCUUUGGGACUGACAUUAUUCGACCAAGGUUAGGUAUCCAGACCUUUCACUUAGUCCGACUAUCCCACCGCGUCCAACCGGAACUGGCGAGAAAGAUCCUGGAGGCCAAACGGAAACUAUGUUAAAUUCGUUAUGGUCAGGACUCGAACUCGUGAUGGCGGGCACUUCAGCGGAAGUUCCUAUUAUAGGAUCAAUUAAUCAUGUAGUUUGAUCUUUUCUAUCUAAUGAGAAGUUUAUUAAAUUUGGGGUCCACGAGAGGGGCAGGGAACAAGAGCAUGUGCAUGUUCAUGGGUCUUUUAAUUCACAUGGCCAUUAUGAUAUUGUAACUUGUACCCUAUUUUGCCGAUCACGAGAUGAGAAAUUUAUCAUAUUUUAUAAUUUGUCUCAGUGUUUGUGUCAUAUUCUAACUCAUAUGAAUAUUUUAUACUAGGUUAAGCGUGCAAUAUGAAAAUGACUUGAACAGAGAACUAUAUUAAUGCGAACAGAAAAAAUUAACUAAAGCAAGGUCCUAAUGAAGUAAUUAUACACCAGCAAUAUUUGACAAUUUUGUUCUUUCUGUGUAUGGUAACUAUACUAUAUAUUUCUUACCAGUAUCAUUUUGAAUUCUAAGCUUAAAGCGGAACUGGCAGGGGGAACUGGAAGACAAACUUGGGUGCAAUAGAAUUGACAAGAAAAUAUUAAAUACCUAAUCAACAAAAUCCCAUAAACUUUACAAACUAGGCCAGCUCCCAUUAAAAAUUUGACAAAUGCCGGUAGGAAAGAACAUUCACUACAAGAAAAAAUAAGCUUAACGACAGCGGUAUUCCUCGUAAAUUCAUCGUAAAAGAGGCUUUACAAAGAAUUAGCGAGAAACUACGUUUUGUCGUUACUCGUUCGUCGUAACGCAUAUAUUCUCACCAAUUCGUCGUAACUUAGCGAGGAAAAUAUGUCGUCAUAAAGACGAAGUACAAUAUUUUGUAGUAAAGACCACGUAAUUAUUCCAUGUAAAAACAUCGCUAUAUUUUCUCGUAAAUACUUCGAAAGGAGUUCCUCGUAAAGUACACGUAAAUACCUCGAAAGUAUUUCCUUGUAAAAUACUCGU